AUUGAACGCUGGCGGCAGGCCUAACACAUGCAAGUCGAGCGAGCGGCGGACGGGUGAGUAAUGUCUGGGAAACUGCCUGAUGGAGGGGGAUAACUACUGGAAAAGGUAGCUACUACCGCAUACCCUCAGAUGUGCCCAGAUGGGAUUAGCUAGUAGGUGGGGUAAUGGCUCACCUAGGCGACGAUCCCUAGCUGGUCUGAGAGGAUGACCCGCCACACUGGAACGGAGACACAGUCCGGCCUGUAACGUGAGGCAGCGCUGGGGAAUAUUGCACAAUGGGAGCAAGCCUGGUGCAGCCAUGCCGCGUGUGUGAAGAAGUCCUGCGGGUUGUAAAGGACUUUCAGCGAGGAUGCGUUACUCGCAGAAGAAGCACCGGCUAGCUCCGUGCCAGCAGCCGCGGUAAUAC
rnacentral:rRNA from 1 species